rnacentral:misc_RNA from 1 species
CCGAGUUUACAACUCCCAAACCCAAUGUGAACGUUACCAAACUGUUGCCUCGGCGGGAUCUCUGCCCCGGGUGCGUCGCAGCCCCGGGCCAAGGCGCCCGCCGGAGGACCAACCAAAACUCUUAUUGUAUACCCCCUCGCGGGUUUUUUACUAUCUGAGCCAUCUCGGCGCCCCUCGUGGGCGUUUCGAAAAUGAAUCA